GGUUUUCGUAAAUUUUAUUCUAAAGCAAUUCUGUGGAAUUAUCCAUUGUGACUGCUUAGUGAAUAAAAGGAUAGGGUUAGUUCUAAAAAAUCAAAAUUAAAAGGGGUUCAUGCACAGAGUCCCCCAGAAACCAAUACAAGUAUUAUAUCAAACUUGCUUUUUUAAUAGUAUCCUGCACAUACGUUCACGUGAUGAUUGUUAUAUUAAUAUCAGUGAGUUUUUAUAAUGAUAUUCCAAAAAGGCCACAAACUAUCACUUGUAUCUUCUCUGAAAACAAAUAGUCCAUGCAAGUCUAACUAUAACAAUCAUUAAUAAAUCUAAAUCUCAAG
rnacentral:lncRNA from 1 species